rnacentral:rRNA from 1 species
UACGUAGGGUGCAAGCGUUAAUCGGAAUUACUGGGCGUAAAGCGUGCGCAGGCGGUUGUGCAAGACCGAUGUGAAAUCCCCGGGCUUAACCUGGGAAUGGCAUUGGUGACUGCACGGCUAGAGUGUGUCAGAGGGGGGGUAGAAUUCCACGUGUAGCAGUGAAAUGCGUAGAGAUGUGGAGGAAUACCGAUGGCGAAGGCAGCCCCCUGGGAUAACACUGACGCUCAUGCACGAAAGCGUGGGGAGCAAACAGG